rnacentral:lncRNA from 1 species
UUUUCUCUACAGGUUGACCGAAGCCAAAUCACCAAAACACGAACCUCACCGGAGAGUCGCCGUACCCGAGAGCGCCGCCGCCGGUAAGCUCCGCUUUUCCGUGAUUUUUUGGCCCCCCGAGGGCCCUAUGGUUGUUUUCUGACAAGGACCAAUGCGAGUGUGGCCGAAUUCGGCCGAAAACGGCCGAAAACAGUCAACCCGAGGCGACUCGCCGCCGCCAGCGGCGGCGCCAUCGCCGGAGCACGGCGGAGCCGCCGUGCCGGAGUUGCGAUUUGGGCCGAAAGAGGCCCUGGGCCUAAUUU